GGGCUCAACCUGGGAACUGCAGUGGAUACUGGAUGACUAGAAUGUGGUAGAGGGUAGCGGAAUUCCUGGUGUAGCAGUGAAAUGCGUAGAGAUCAGGAGGAACAUCCAUGGCGAAGGCAGCUACCUGGACCAACACUGACACUGAGGCACGAAAGCGUGGGGAGCAAACAGGAUUAGAUACCCUGGUAGUCCACGCCCUAAACGAUGCGAACUGGAUGUUGGGUGCAAUUUGGCACGCAGUAUCGAAGCUAACGCGUUAAGUUCGCCGCCUGGGGAGUACGGGCGCAAGACUGAAACUCAAAGGAAUUGACGGGGGCCCGCACAAGCGGUGGAGUAUGUGGUUUAAUUC
rnacentral:rRNA from 1 species